AAUAAUAAUAGAAUCCCAAACUAAAAACCUUUCUUCAACCUCUAUUAACUACAUUACAGAGUAGAUAGAGUACAGAGUGAGUGUAGCUCUUCUUCUCCAACCGCCGAGACCGUGAAAAGUCCCAGAGGAUUACACCUUGCAUCUGUUUUGUUGUUCUUGGAGUAUGUAUUGUGUUAGUAGUAGUUUCAGUUGUGGUUGUGCUUUUAGUGAGUCAUCUAAGGGAAGAGACUUUAGAAAUUUACAGUUUUGUACAUAUGGGUACUUGGGAAAUAGGUUGAAGAUGAGGAGCAAACAAAUGAGUUUAUUAUGUGGGUUUGUUAUGAAAAUCCAAAUUGAAGAAAAGAAGAAAGUUGGGAAAUCUUCAAAAGAGGUUAUAAGGGUUCUUAAGUCUACAACAGACCCAAAUUCAGCUUUUUCAUAUUUCAUGGAUGUUGCUGGGUUACCUUAUGUUGUUCACACCACUGAAACAUGUAAUUACAUGCUUGAAGUUUUGAUGAUUCAUAAGAGGGUGAAGGAUAUGACUGUUGUUUUCGAUUUUAUGCAGAAGAACAAGGUUCAUCGAACUUUGAACACUUAUCUUGUUGUUUUCAAAGGUCUUUACUUAAAGGGUGGAAUUCAACAAGCACCAAUUGCGCUUGAGAAGAUGAGAAAGGCGGGGUUCGUUUUGAAUGCUUAUUCGUAUGAUGGGUUGAUCUAUUUGCUUCUUCAAUCGGGGUUUUGUAAAGAGGCUUUGGAGAUUUAUAACAAAAUGGUGAUGAAAGGGAUGAAGCCGGGGUUGAAGAUUUAUUCAGCGCUUAUGGUAGCGUUUGGAAAGAGAAGGGAUACUCAAACUGUAAUGUGUUUGUUAGAAGAGAUGGAACAUUUGGGAUUGAGGCCUAAUAUGUAUACAUUUAACAUAUGCAUUAGAGCUCUUGGAAGAGCUGGGAAAAUUGAUGAGGCUUUUGGUGUAUUGAAGAAAAUGGAUGAAGAGGGAUGCGAGCCUAAUGUUAUUACUUAUACCGUUCUCAUUGAUGCUCUGUGUAAUGCAGGAAAACUCGAUGAAGCAAAGGCGUUGUUUGUAAAGAUGAAAGCUAGCAGUCAUAAACCCGAUCUUAUAACUUACACUACUUUGUUGGACAAGUUAAGUGACUGUGGAGAAUUGGAAACUCUGAUAGAAAUUUGGGAUGAAAUGGAAGCUGAUGGUUUUGCUCCCGACGCAGUUACUUUCAACGUUCUUAUUGAUGCUUUAUGCAAAGCGGGAAAUGUUGACAAAGCAUUUGAUACUUUUGGUGUGAUGAAGGAGAGAGGGAUCUCACCUAGUCCUCAUAGUUACAAUGCCUUGAUCGGGGGACUGUUAAGGGCGAGUAGACUGGAUGAGGCUCUAAAACUUUUCGGUAGUAUGGAAUCUAUGGGUGUCAUGACUACUGCUUAUACAUACACCAUUUUCAUUGACUAUUAUGGUAAGUCUGGUGAUUCUGUAAAAGCUAUUGAGACCUUUGAGCAGAUGAAAAGUAAAGGCAUUGUUCCGAAUAUUGUGGCUUGUAAUGCUUCUUUAUAUAGUCUUGCUGAAACAGGAAGAGUUGAAGAAGCAAAAGAAUUUUUUGAUGGGAUCAAACUUAGUGGGCUUUCUCCUGAUUCAGUUACUUACAACAUAAUGAUGCAAUGCUAUGGAAAGUUAGGGAGAGUUGAUGAAGCCAUUGAGUUACAUUCCGAGAUGGUGAAACAACGGUGUGAGCCUAAUUUAUUCGUAGCUAAUUCUUUAAUCGAUAUGCUUAUCAAGAAUGACCGAGUAGAGGAAGCAUGGCAAAUGUUUUACGGAUUGAGAGAUAUGAAACUUGUUCCUUCGGUUGAUAUCUUCAACACAUUACUUGUUGGUUUAAUGAAAGAAGGCCAAGUCCACAAAUUGAUUCAAAUAUUUGUGGAUAUGGUAGAGCACGGUUGUCCCCCGAACACAAAUCGCCUUUGUAACAAUGUUGAGGUGCCAGUUUCCUUGGCUUGUAAAAUCAAUAAACUCUUCGAAUUACAUGAAGAGAUGUGUAGUAGGGGAAGCAAGCCUAACACUGUCACGUAUAAUAUACUCAUUUCAAGUUUAGUGAAAUUCAAUAAUGUUGAUGAGGCUAUCGAUUUCUACUACGAUCAUGUAGGUCAUGAUUUUGCCCCGUCCUCUUGUACGUACGGUCCACUAAUUGAUGGACUUUUUAAGUCAGGAAGACAUGAAGAAGCAAUGCUUUUCUUCAAGGAGAUGGGAAGAUAUAGAUGCAAACCGAGCUGUGCAACUUUCAAUAUUCUUAUGAACGGUUUUGGGAAGACCGGAGAUGUGGAAACUGUUCGAAGGUUGUUUAAAAGAAUGGUUAAAGAAGGAAUAAGACCCGACUUGAAGAGUUACACGAUUCUUGUGAAUUCUCUGUGUGUUUCGGGAAAAUUUGAUGAUGCUUUGUAUUACUUUGAGGAACUAAAGCAGACUGGACUUAGUCUUAAUUCGGUUUGUUAUGAGCUAUUGAUUGAGGCACUAGGAAGAUCAGGAAGAGUAGAAGAAGCUUUAUGUCUGUACAAUGAAAUGCAGAGACGAGGAAUUUUUCCCGAUCUUUGUACAUACAACAAACUAAUCCUCAAUCUUGGGAUUGCGGGAAUGGUGGAUGAAGCAGUGAGUGUUUAUGAAGAACUUCAGGUGAAGGGUCUUAAACCCGAUGUUUUCACCUACAAUGCUCUAAUUCGAGCUUACAGCACGUCUGGGAAUCCAGACCAUGCCUAUGCUGUUUACAAGAAAAUGAUAGUUAGUGGCUGCGACCCGAAUGUGAGAACGUUUGCUCAACUUACUAAUCUCUAAACUGUCUUUGAGACCAAAGAGAUAUGACCAAAUCCAUGAUUAUCCAGAUACUUGUAUCCUUGGUAUGAAAUGUUGGCCACUUUUCUAAACUAAUUCUUGUGAAUCGAUCGCACAGAGUUGGACAAUGUUUGAGAAGAAUCUGAUUUUGAGUACUGAAAUGUUAGUUGUUGUUGAUAACACAGCUACAACAAAAGUUUAAUAAAAGGUUUCUGGCAGCCAUGGGAACGUGAACUCCAAACCAGUCUUGUUGUGUAUGCAGAACCAAAUGAGAAGCUUGUGGGAUUUGUAAUAUCAACACUGAUGAAUCCGAAGAGACUGAGACUAAGAGGAGUAGCUCAAAGAAUCAGACAUGUGGUUUGCUCUGCUCCAACAAAGAUGAAUCCGUAUUAUGUAUGGAAGGUUCGUAUUUCCAUCGUCGGUGGGUGUUGUAGUAAAUUCUAAUGAUGUUUAACUUUGUGAUUCUUACUCCAACAAGACUCGAGACACCUCAAUAUUCUUAAGUUCCAUGGUGAAUUCCAUAAUGCUCUCACAACUUCAUUAUUAUCCUUAAUGGGCAUAAUUCCAAGAAAGAUGGGACAAGUAAUUUCAAUUUGACACCCACAUUUUCUCUUCAAGUAAAUAAGAUCAUUUUGGUAUGCUUUCGGUGAAGCCACGCCAUCAAGGUCAAUCUCAUCCGGAUGAGCCUCGGGAUAACUGGAGACGGCCACACCAAAGUAGUCACCAUACCUAGCUCAGAUAUGUUGCACCUGAAAAUUAUCGUUUGGCUAAGCUUCUGCUUAUCUUUUAUUCGAACAUUUUUCAUUCUAAAAGCUAAAAAAGAGCUUAUAAAAGGUGAAACAGUUCUCGAAAGUCAUGUAAUGUCGCAGAAAGAGGGGUCGUGGGCAACCAUUCUCUACAUCCUCUCGAAGAGGUUGUCCACUCCUUCGUCGGUCUUCGGUGGGAAGAAGUUGGAAUAAGAAAACAACACCUUGUCAUUGUUAAUAUUCUUCUCGAUGAUUAAGUAGAUAUCAUUGAAUGAUAACACAUUGUUAUAUAAAUUUUUAUUUUUAGAUUUUAUUUUGAAUUUUUAGUAGUUAUAAAUAGGAAAUAUGUAUUUUUAUUAAUACAAUACAUUAAAUACAAAUUGAGAAA